UUGAUCCUGGCUCAGGACGAACGCUGGCGGCGUGCUUAACACAUGCAAGUCGAACGGAAAGGCCCUGCUUGCAGGGUACUCGAGUGGCGAACGGGUGAGUAACACGUGGGUGAUCUGCCCUGCACUUCGGGAUAAGCUUGGGAAACUGGGUCUAAUACCGGAUAGGAACCAUCCUUAGUGUGGUGGUUGGAAAGUUUUUUCGGUGUAGGAUGAGCUCGCGGCCUAUCAGCUUGUUGGUGGGGUAAUGGCCUACCAAGGCGGCGACGGGUAGCCGGCCUGAGAGGGUGUACGGCCACAUUGGGACUGAGAUACGGCCCAGACUCCUACGGGAGGCAGCAGUGGGGAAUAUUGCACAAUGGGCGCAAGCCUGAUGCAGCGACGCCGCGUGGGGGAUGAAGGCCUUCGGGUUGUAAACUCCUUUCGCUAGGGACGAAGCUUUUUGUGACGGUACCUAGAUAAGAAGCACCGGCUAACUACGUGCCAGCAGCCGCGGUAAUACGUAGGGUGCGAGCGUUGUCCGGAAUUACUGGGCGUAAAGGGCUCGUAG
rnacentral:rRNA from 1 species